rnacentral:rRNA from 1 species
UACGUAGGGUGCGAGCGUUGUCCGGAUUUAUUGGGCGUAAAGGGCUCGUAGGCGGCGUGUCACGUCGGGAGUGAAAGACCGGGGCUUAACCCCGGUUCUGCUUCCGGUACGGGCAUGCUGGAGUGUGGCAGGGGAGACUGGAAUUCCUGGUGUAGCGGUGGAAUGCGCAGAUAUCAGGAGGAACACCGGUGGCGAAGGCGGGUCUCUGGGCCAUUACUGACGCUGAGGAGCGAAAGCGUGGGGAGCGAACAGG